UGUUAAAGUGUCAGAGUAAUGUAUUAAACUUAGGAUUUAAUUAUGGGAGUUUUCCCCUUUAAUAA
rnacentral:tRNA from 1 species